AGGUUAUUACAUAUUAGUAAUUCAUUUACAUACUAGAAAUGAUCAGAAACACAACUGAUGGUAAAUUACUAUCCUGAAUUCAAAUCGAAAGUAGCACCUUUUAAAACCGAAAGUAGCCCAAUUUUGCUGUAAGGAAGGUAUUUCCCUACAUGAACUAACGUGUUUGUUUCUUGGGAUGUCUGAAUUUGCACCGUCUGCUACAGUGGCAGGAGAAAUGGGACGGGAACCACGCCAUUGAGACAAAUCAUAUUAAAGUGAAGAGAACGUGUUCAGAGAAGUGUUUGAAUCAUAAAUACGACCAGACAAACCUCGUGAAAAACGAAGCUGUGUGUAUGGACCGGUGUGUUGCCAAAUAUAUGGAAUUGCAUGAUUUGAUUGGUCGACGAAUAUCACGUGAUAAGGAGACCUAUGACCUACUUGCACGUCCACCAUACCAGACUAGCUUAGAAGACACGGAAGCCUUUAAAUUAAAACAAAAAGUAGAAAAAGAACAGACUGGAUGAAAAACAGUCAAACUGAAAUUUUAAUGUUCUUGGCGUGUUCAAAAUGGGAGACUGUAUUUACGCUCAAGAAAUUGAGUUCGUAUAGCUACAGUUAAUUAAUACAAUGUUAAAUCUUAAGAGGUCAUUUCCAUACAGUUCCCGAACAUUUUCACAGAAAUACAGAUCGCUGUUUAAACGAGGAUCAUUUCAAUUGGUGUAUUUGUAAUGAACCGGUAGAAACUGAUAAUGUUAUGUGAUAUUGAAAGUUUGAUUUCAGUGUCAAUAAAAAUGUAAACAAUGAAUUUAACUUCAUUUUCUAUUAAAACAAAACUUGGUCGCACUUUUUCAAAAGAAAAAUAAGAAAGAAAAAUAAAAGAAAAGAAAAAAUACAAUAAUACAUUCAGCCCUGCUUACAUGUAUCUACCGUAGGUGUUUCAUAAGGUGAAUAGAUUUGAUCUGUUGCACCAGUCAGUCAUGUAUGCACGUGACAUGUCCUUGUCAGUUGCACAAUUUCCACUUUUAGUAUGUUCACUCAGGAUGAAAACCAGCUGAAGAGCCUCGGGUGCCCCUCUGCACGUUGUUACAAGUACAAGAUUUCAUGUGUGUAAACUACAGAUAUUUCCCAUAAGACAGAUGGAUGACUUACAUAUAUAAAAGUAGAAUUCGACACUGUAAUUGAUAUUUUACCCUACAUCAACUGAUUCACACUGAGAAUUACCGAUCUUCCAUAAGCCAGCAGGAUGCCUUACAUACAUGAAAGAGGUCAACAUAUCGAGGGAUUUUUGGACCCACAUGAUAAUUAUGAUUACACAGCUCCUGACUAAGCCGUUUAGCAUCAUGCGAAUCUUCUUGUUGAUGUCUGUGAAAGACAGUAAGUCAGAAACCAUUUUUCCGCCACCUGUGAUUCUUGUGAAGAAGUUGUCAGUUACUUGCUAAGGAACUGAGCACAUGGUAACUUAUCAACGAUUCUCCCGAACAUGGAAAUCACAUGUACCGGAACUACCAGGAAGUAUAGAAAUGCUUGUAAAAUAUGUUUCAGACAGUGAAACACAUGAUAUUGUUACUGCAGCUUAGGAAGGACCCCAAGCAAAGGAUCAGUGUACAAUUAACUGUGUAACAUUGUUGUUGGGCAGUCUAACAGACUCGGCGAUAUCACCUCUGCAGAGGAACUUUGUGUUGUGGAAGUAGAGGAUAUGCCAGUGUACAAUAGACAGUGUAACUUUGUUGUUGGACAGUCUAAUAGAGGAACUUUGUGUUGUGGAGAUAGAGGAUACGUUGUCGUUUUCACAGCCAUUUUAUACGUAAGAAGUUGACAUUUACAGAAGAUUCCCAGAGCAAAAGACAGGUUGUUUUCUGAUGAAUGACGUACAGCUUGCAGUGACAUCCUUUCAACUUAAUACAGAAAUUCAGGUAAUUUAUCCAAUGAAUGAGUCCAGAUUUUAAAAAAAAAGUCAUCCAGGAGACGACACUACAGAGCAGAAUUCAAGCUACAUGAACUAAGAAAAUCAUUUUCAAAUUUCCCCAUGAAUAAUGAGGCAUAAACAGGAGCUAUAGGACUACCCGUGGCAGUACCCAUUUUUUUGAUGAAGCCACUCAGCUUGUUUGAGCAAAAUCUGCAGUUGUAACCAUGUGUCUACUGAAGUCUGGAUAAUAUUUUACUGGAGAUUUGGAAUUUUAAUUCACUGUGAACAGAUGAAAACCUGAACAGUUACCAGAAAUGAAAAAUAAAAAUGUGUUACUAUUUCUAUAAACGUAUAAGAGACCGUUUCUUUGUUGUUUUGGAUAAAAAGACUUAUUAUUGCAUCUCGCAAUUGACAUUUGUAAAUUCCAUCUUCUCUUAUCUUUUUUUUUUUAGACAAAAUUAAUAUAAACUUAGUAGGAAAAUAGGCUUUAUUUUAAGCUAUAGUUAUACGGACAAUUAAAUUAUUGCAAACGAUGAUAAAUUAAUACAGUUUUACACUACAGUAGGUGUAAAAUGUUUUAUCCAAUGAUAUUUCAGUUACUUCCGCCUUCUUGGCGGAUGACAUAAAAAACUUUCAUUUAUCCAGUUUAUUUUGUUGUAUAAAAUGUAGGCUCAUGUUGUGUCUAAAAGUCAGUAUCAUGUUAUGUCUAAAAUGCAGCUCCCUGUUGUGUCUAAAUUGGUCGUAUUAAGAUGACUGCAUUACAAAUACAAAUUGCCUUAAAUUUUCCAGUUAUAAUACUUUAUAAAAUACAAAAUUUAGGGACAUAGACACCACAGAUAAGACGUAAAUGCUUUGGUAUCAUGAACUCAUCAGCCAUUAAAAAUACUUAUCAAAUGUUUACUGAACUGUUAAAAUGUUGAUUAUUAAGAAGUUAAUGAAAUAUAUUUGAUAACAUAAGGAAUGUUGAAGUAGUGCAUAGUUCAGAUAUAAAGACGUCCGCAGUUCAUUUUAUUUUUCAUUUUUACUUUUUCAAAAAAUAAAGAAACAACAAAAACAUAAACCAAAUAAAAAACAAACAACAGUAGCUACUUAAUCUACUUCUUUGGUUUAUCUGUCACCGAAGAAGAGCGUAUAGUUAUCGAAUUGUCCGUCUUUACGUAAGCCAUUUCGUCUCUGAGCUACAUCUUUUAAGCAUUUUUAAGGAUUCCAAUAAGUAUUUACAUAAGUGUUAGGUGUGUCGCGAGCAAACGUUGGGUUUGUUCCUCCGAGGUCAGUGUCACAAAAAAUGAGCGAUAAGUUGCAUUUUAAUACGCAGUAUUUGAUGUCUGGGCUAUAUCGUUUGAACCAUGAAAGGAAAUUCAGUGAAACUUAAGGUAAAUAGUGAGCACUCGGAGCUGUGUUGCGUGCAAGACUCGUGUCUUUACCUUCAAUGUCAAGGUCACAGGAAAACAAUACUGUUAAAUCAUAAAUAUUGAGGGGACUAUGUUUUGUGAGUUAAUCCGCGAAGUUUAAUCCCAACGAACAAAGAAUCUAAGAGAUAGUCUACAGUACUUUUUGUGGACAGGGGAAUUCAUUGCAACUUCAUACAAAUCUUAACAUCUUGAGUAGAUUUGUCACAGUCUGCAUCUCUAAGGUCAAUGUCAUAGGCAGGUAAACAUAUUUUUCGUACAUAUUCAAAAAGAUGUAAAAUUAAGCUUCUAAUCCAUGUAACAGUAUUUAAUGAGAAAUCACUAAUUCUUUCCACAACAUCAUUAGAAGUUGUGUUGCCUUUACCUGAAUAGCCGAGGUCACAUGCAAGGUAUCUUCUCAUUUACAGUUUAUAUGAACAUUGUAAAUUGUGUUUUUGAGUGUUAGUUUUUGCUUGUAGUAAAUAAGAUUUUGCUCGUG